CCUACGGGAGGCAGCAGUGGGGAAUUUUGCGCAAUGCUCGUAAGAGUGACGCAGCGACGCCGCGUGAAUGACGAAGGCCUUCGGGUCGUAAAGUUCUUUCGACAGGGAAGAAAAUGCCUAUAAGUAACUGUGUAUGUAUUGACGGUACCUGUAUAAGCAGCCCCGGCUAACUCCGUGCCAGCAGCCGCGGUAAUACGGAGGGGGCGAGCGUUGUUCGGAGGGACUGGGCGUAAAGAGCACGUAGGGGGUGUUGUAAGUCAUUAGUCAAAGACUAGAGCUCAACUUUAGUAAGGCUAGUGAUACUAUAAUACUAGAGUAUCAGAGAGGAUUGCAGAAUGCCUGGUGUAGCGGUGAAAUGCGUAGAUAUCAGGAGGAAUACCGUUAGCGAAGGCGGCAAUCUGGCUGGAAACUGACGCUGAGGUGCGAAAGCGUGGGUAGCAAACAGGAUUAGAUACCCUUGUAGUC
rnacentral:rRNA from 1 species